CUACGGGAGGCAGCAGUGGGGAAUAUUGGACAAUGGGCGAAAGCCUGAUCCAGCCAUGCCGCGUGUGUGAAGAAGGUCUUCGGAUUGUAAAGCACUUUAAGUUGGGAGGAAGGGCUGUAGGCUAAUAUCCUGCGGUUUUGACGUUACCAACAGAAUAAGCACCGGCUAACUUCGUGCCAGCAGCCGCGGUAAUA
rnacentral:rRNA from 1 species